GCCUCCACGGACUAACUCGAAGGUGUCGGAGCUGGAGGUGUGCAGCACGGCUCGCAAAGGGCGGCUGCUCGUGCCGACAGUGCCGUCUGGUGUGAGUUGCGCCGGCAAGGCUGUCUGAGUUGAAGGGAACCAGCCGCGCUGACUGCCUGGUGUGAGCCAGUCGCUAAGAUAGGGCUGCCUGCAGGGAGCCGGCCGUUCUGACAAGGGCGUGUGUUGUAGACCAGCCGCUCCGACGGAGCCGUCUGAUGUGGAACGUGCGCGUCGACAGUGCCGGCGUCUGAAGUGAGCUUGCCGCGCUGACUGUGCUGUCUGGUGAGAACUGUAUUGACAGUGCUGUCUGAAGUAAGUCAGCCACUCAGUGCUGUGCGCGAGCCACCUGUGCUCAGCUGUGACGGUGAUAAAGUGAUACAGCAAAGAGUAUUUUUCAAAAUCCUAUGGGAAAGAUUCAAAGCAGCUGGUUUGGUUUUGUGUUGAGAUAAGUUGUUUUCUUUGCGAGUUCUCUGAAACGAUGUGGAAGAAAUUGAAUACGGUGAUUCUGGCACUGGUCCUGGCGCUGGUCUGCGGCGUGGGGUCAGUGAGCUCAGCCGCAGUCCGAGGUCACCCUCGUCGGGUGCGACAGGUCUCCUCUGGUGGUGGUGACGCCGUCCCGUCUGAAGGUUCCGGCACCACACUGCUGAUACGUCCGACUCUGCUCCAGCUGCCCCCAUCGCCGGCUGAUCAGCCCGGGUCAGAGACCAGCCAGGAGACCGAGUCAGAGGUCAACGAGGGGCCCGGGUCAGCUGCCACCCAGGGACCCGGCAGUCAACAGAGCCAGGGUAGUCCCGGUGACGCCGUCAGCGGUUUUAACGGAGUGACGAUCCUUAUCCGGCCGACUUUAAUCCAGCUGUGACCCUGGCGAGAUUGUACGGCGAACACUUGGUGGGAACCAGCAGCCGAUGAAGGCCAAGUGUCGGCUCUCUUGGGGCUCAGAAGUCAAUGAACUUUGUCUGCAUUCCUUCGCUAUGUUGCAUUAAUAUAGCGCUUCAUGCAUAUUUGAUCCAGUUUUAUACAAAUUGGGUUAUGAAUACGAUCAUAUUCUGUAGUUCUGGUCGGUCUCAUAAAUAUGCAACGUCUUCUACAAGAUUCUGAAUGAUAAUGUAUUUAAACUGCCUGACUCCUUGCAGUUUGGUUGAAGCGUAAGCGUGUCAUUUGAUAUCAAGAUCUGAUUUAUUUUCUGCUGGAAUGAAGGCACACACUUCUCAUGAUUAUGUCAAGCAGGCUCUCUGAAUCCUAAUUCCCGAACAGAUUAAACAACUGCAGAUCGAUUUCGUUUUUAAACUGAUUCCUCGUAGGUACAGCCCUCUGCAAACUGCGUGGUAGGUAUUCUUUCUUCGACAAAACCGAGCAUAACGCGGAUACUAUGCUAUCGGUCGCUCGGAAAUCAUAACAGCAAGAUGCGCGAGACUCCGCACCUUAGAUUGGCAUUACCAUCGCAUUCAUUUUCCAUCCAGUUUGGCAACAAAACCCAAAAGUUUAUAUUUGCCCCCAAAACAAACUUUUGCAUUUUGUUGCCACACAAGGCAUAUACUUUGUUUAGUGAUAUACCCAAUCGAAAGAGUAGAGCAAGGCGCCUCUAUUUUCAGUGAGUUCCGACCGACUGGCAACAUAGUCUUUGAGUUAUUACUGGUUUUGUCGAAAAAAGAAUACCUACCACGCAGUCUGCUGAGGACUGUACGCCUAGUACGGUGAGGUUAUUUUAUUGGAAGCGUGCUUUCCUAUAUAGCAAUGCAUGCAAGUUGUGCAAACUUCCGAUUGACUGUUCGGGGUUACUUACUACGUAUGUGCUGCGCAGGGCCUCAAGAUUUGAUAUUCAUUCGGUGUUGUGUGCCACGGCAGUCGGCGCCGUCACUCCAUUCAGAGUCAGUGUCAUGUUCGGAAUAUGCGCCGUCGUCACUCGCUCUGAUGACUCCAGUGUGCCCGUCAUCGCUCACCCAUGAAUAGUUAAUACCCGAGUGGAGGGGUCGAUGCCCGCGUGGCGUGAUGUCUUUGUAUAUUGAACACGGACAGUGAUGCGUCAAAUGAUGGUGUCUGACUGCGCAUGGAAGGCCUCCCUUUGACGAUAGCGUAGCGUGUUUUUUUUUACAAUAGGAAAGUAUGUCCCUCCUGAUUCUUUUU